AAGCAGAACUAUCACUCUGUUCUCCCCUAUGUCACAUUCUUAUCUUGCAGAUCAUAAAAAAACUCACUCUUGAGGUAGGUCUGGAGACGAAAGGACAAGAGAGACAGCAAGGCCAAGGGGAAUCUAAGCACAUCCAACUGUGCGGCUUGAAGUAGUUCUUCCCACAACUGAGAUGGAUCUUCCCAUAUCAAUUAAUGUAAUCAAGAUAAUCCCUGCAGACCUUCUCAGAGGCUGAAAUCAAUCUAGCGAUGUCAUCAAGGUCAUUUCUUGCUGUAUCUGGAACCUGAUGGGCAAGACUGCAUGCUUUCCUCCUUCCUAGUACUUGGGCCUUUCCUGGGUCUCCAGGAAAAAGCACAAAGCUGAAUAGCAUCUGCUGAAUUCUGCUAUCCUACAGUCAGCAAAUCACUUUCUGUUCUCCUACUGAAUGUGGACAGCCCCCACACCUGCAGAAAAACAUCUGCUCGCAUCCAGAGGGCCAACAAUUGUUCAAGGGAUAAAGAAGAGUUUUCCUACUGUGAAUCAUCUUCCACUUUUGGGAAGGAAGCUUCGUGUGAUAUUGGUGCUACUACCCAAUUCAUUCAGCCUACUCUCUGUGUUUACAUGUAUCAGUCUGAUUUCCAGUAACAGGCAUCGUGGGACUUGCUUGAGCUGGCGGUGCUGUUUGGAAGGUUGUGGGAUUUCUUGAAGAUAGAGUCUGCGCGAACUGGGUCAUGGAGAAUGUGCCUUGAGGAUUUAUAAUCAGACUUCAUUUGAAAUGUAACCAACUACCUCCUACUCUUGAAGCCUUGGCUUCUAUGUCUGCUGCUACUCUCUCCCUACUGUGAUGGACUGUAUGCCUCUGAAAUGAUGUUCGAAAAUAAGGGCAACAUAUUUAUCACACUAAUCAGAAGGUAACCAGGAAAGGGAAGAGGAGACGUGUCUGUGUAGAGUUAGGGAGGGUAAAGAAGAAAUUGAUGAGGACAUGAAAUUAAAGAACCAAAAUAAAGUUGCUUCAUUGCCUACAAUGUCCUAAUAAAAAAUUUGCACUGUUAA